UACGGGGGGGGCUAGCGUUGUUCGGAAUUACUGGGCGUAAAGGGCGCGUAGGCGGCCUACUAAGUCGGACGUGAAAUCCCUCGGCUCAACCGGGGAACUGCGUCCGAUACUGGUGGGCUCGAAUCCGGGAGAGGGAUGUGGAAUUCCAGGUGUAGCGGUGAAAUGCGUAGAUAUCGGGAGGAACACCAGUGGCGAAGGCGACUACCUGGCCUGUUCUUGACGCUGAGGCGCGAAAGCUAGGGGAGCAAACGGG
rnacentral:rRNA from 1 species